rnacentral:rRNA from 1 species
GUGGAUAAAUUAAAAAAAAAAAAUAAUAAUAAAAAAAUUUUUAAGUUGAUUAUAUUAAAUAUUUUAAUGGGGGUUAAAGUAUAUUGAUAGAAAAAAUUAAAAUUUUUAUAGGGGAUUAGUAUUGUGAAAAAAUUUUGAAAUAUAAAUGAAAAUAAAAUUGUUUUAAAGUAAUUUUAAUUUAGUGUAUCUUGUGUAUCAGAGUUUAUUAAAUAAUUUUUUAAUGGUAGAUAAUUCUCGAAUUUAAAAGAGAUAAUUAAUUAUAAAAAUUAUUGUAGCAUAAAUAUUUUUAAUAGUUAAUUUGAAAUGAGAUGUUAUUCGUUUUUAAAGAUAUCUAGUUUUUUUAGAAAAAAAUUUAAUUUUAAGUUUAUUAAUGUUAAAAUUUUGUAAUUUUAUAAUAUGAAAUUAAUUAAUUAAUUUGAUUAUAUAUUAAAUAAAUUUUAUAUUUUAAGGGAUAAGCUUUGAAAUAAAUUUAAUAUAAUUAAUAAUAUUUUUUAAAUUUGAAAAUUAUAUAAUUUAUAUUGUUGAUAAAUUAUAAUUUAUUAUAAAUAAUUUCAAAUUAAUAUAAAAUUUAAUUUUAAUUUAUUUUUUUUAUAAAAAAAAAUUUUUUAUUUAUAUAAAAUUAGUUAUAAUGAUAAAAUUAGUAUAUUACAUUAUAUUUAAUUUUUAUAAUUAGAUAAUAAUUAUUUAAAAAGAAUUCGGCAAAAAUUUAUACUCACUUGUUUAUCAAAAACAUGUCUUUUUGGAAAUAAUAUAAAGUCUAAUCUGCCCACUGAUUUAAUUGAAGGGCUGCAGUAUAUUGACUGUACAAAGGUAGCAUAAUCAUUAGUCAUUUAGUUGAUGACUUGUAUGAAAGAUUGAAUGAAGUAUAAACUGUCUCUAAAAUAAAUAGUAAAAUUUAAUUUUUAAAUUAAAAAGUUUAAAUAAAUUAAAAAGACGAGAAGACCCUAUAGAGUUUUAUUUAUUUUUAUAUUAUAACUAUUUAUAAAUUUAAAAUUUUUAAUUUAAUAAUAAAUUUUAUUGGGGUGAUGAAAAAAUAUGUUUAACUUUUUUUUUAUGUAUAUAUAUAUAUAUAUAUAUAUAUUAAACAUUAAUAAGUGAUUAAUUGAUCCAAUUUUAUUGAUUAAAAGAAAAAAUUACCUUAGGGAUAACAGCGUAAUUUAUUUUUUUAGUUCAUAUAAAAAGAUGAGUUUGCGACCUCGAUGUUGGAUUAAGAUAAAAAUUAAAUGCAAAAGUUUAAAUUUUUGAUCUGUUCGAUCAUUAAAAUCUUACAUGAUCUGAGUUCAGACCGGUGUGAGCCAGGUUGGUUUCUAUCUUUUAAGUAGAAUAAUAUUUUAGUACGAAAGGAUCAAAUAUUUAAAUUAAAUUUUAUUUUUGAAUUUUAUUAAUUUUUAUAAAAAGAAUAAAAUAUUAAUAAUUUGAUUUGAAAA